AGAAAAGUAAGCUAAACUAAGCUAAUGGGUUCAUACCCCGUAAAUAGAGCACAAAUCUCUCUUCUCUG
rnacentral:tRNA from 1 species